rnacentral:lncRNA from 1 species
GAACUUCUGGAGGAAUCACCAUGCCUGACCUCAAGCUGUACUACAGAGCAAUUGUGAAACAAACAAACAAACAAACAACAACAACAACAAAACCGUACUGAUACAGUGACAGGCAGGUGGAUCAAUGGAAUAGAAUUGAAGAUCCAGAAAUGAAACCACACACCUAAGGUCACUUGAUCUUUGGCAAAGGAGCUAAAGCCAUCCAUCCAGUGGAAAAAAGAUCGCACUUUCACCGGUGCUGACUCAGCUGGCAAUUAGUAUGUAGAAGAAUGCAUACUGAUCCAUUCUCAUGUCCUUGUACAAAGCUCAAAUCCAAGUGGAUCAAAGACCUCCACAUAAAUCCAGAUACACUGAAACUAAUAGAAGAGAAAGUGGAGAAAAGCCUCAAGCUCAUGGGCACAAGGGAAAAUUUCCUGAACAGAACAGCAAUAACCUAUGCUCUAAGAUCAAGAAUGGACAAAUGGAACUUCAUAAAAUUGCAAGACUUCUGUAAGGUGAAGGACAUUGUCAAUAGGACAAAAAGGCCAAUAGAUUGGAAAAAGAUCUUUACCAAUCCUACAUGUGAUAGUGGGCUAAUAUCCAAUAUAUACAAAGAACUCAAAAAGUUAGUCUCAAAAGAGCCAAAUAACCCUAUUAAAAAUGGGGUACCGAGCUAAAAAAGAAUUCUCAACUGAGGAAUAAAAAAUGGCUGAGAAGCUCCU